rnacentral:lncRNA from 1 species
AACCAUUUAUUGGAAUUCAUUGGUCCAAAAUUACACAUGUAAUCCUAUACAAGUUUGCAUAGAUUCUAUGGGUAGGAAUAAAAAGUCAUAUUCUUUAAUUAGCUGGUGGUGGAGGAUCUUCCCAUGCAAGAGUGCUUCAAACCCAUUAAAGCCACCAUAUGAGAUCUUCUGUUCCUAUUCAAAUAUGCAAAAUCAACUUUGUUCAAUUAAAAAUACAUUUGUUAAUAUGGGUAGUUUAUAAAUAUUAAGGAUGAAUUUCAUUCUAUUGAUAAGGAUUAAAAUUUGUGAAAUUAUAGAGUAACUUGAAGAUCCCAUGGCUUAAUUUUUAUAGCUUAAUGAUAAAAAUCUUGUAUUUAUGUCUAAUUUUUGUACCACUGUAUCAUACAAGUAUGCAUGGUUUCUUUUAGAAAGAUUAGAUUUAGUGUUUACCUAAAGACAACGAGUAGCCCUUUCAAUGGUUGAGCCAAUAGAUAGUGUUUUUUAAUACAUUUUCCUUACUGUGGCUAUGUUUCAUUCUUUCUUCUCCAUCCAUCCCUUAACUUAAACAACCAUUAAUUUUGAUCAGUUUUCUUGCAAAUUCACACACAUUCUUCCACAUACACAAAGACAUUCCCUAAACUCCUAAAAAAAUGGAGCAUAUGAGGUGAUUCUUAAUCAUGGUAAGGAUCACUGGAGUUGAGAACUUAUUUUUUGAAGUUAUUAGCAUUAGAUAUUGUUUGCAUCGUGAUUUGUAUAAUUUUCCAAAAUUUCAACUUGAAUGAAAUGAACAAUAACUAUAAAAUACAUCGGUACUAAAUUUUAGAAACAAAAAUUAACAAUCACAAUAAGAAGCAGAAUGAACAUUAAUGUUUACCUUCUACAUCCUACAAAACAACAUAUCAUGCAAACCUAAAUAUUUUUUUAUGUUCCACAAGCAAAGCACGUCGGUUUCUCAUCAUUUUACUGACAAAAUCAACAUACAUGAUAGCAUACAAACUUUUAAAAUGAAACUUCUACAUAGUUUUUUCAAUCUCCAACCAUGUUUAUGAAGUCACAUUAAACUCAAUGUUUUUCAGACAACAUAGAUAUGUGGGCAAUUGAUGUCAAGAUAAAACACAAAAAAUUGAAUAUUCACUAAUUUCCUUGUAAUAGUAUAGUUCAUGUGAUUCUAAAGUAACCACAUUAUGCAUAUGCACAUUCUGGUGCUCAACAUUCUGGUAUAAUACUUUUGAUAUUUCUAAAAUCAUUUCUUUCCUAAAGACUUGACAACUAAUGCUUUUCAUUUCUAUUGUAGAAAAAGUCUAACUAACA